AUUGAACGCUGGCGGCAGGCCUAACACAUGCAAGUCGAGCGGCAGCGGGAAAGUAGCUUGCUACUUUUGCCGGCGAGCGGCGGACGGGUGAGUAAUGCCUGGGGAUCUGCCCAGUCGAGGGGGAUAACUACUGGAAACGGUAGCUAAUACCGCAUACGCCCUACGGGGAAAGCAGGGGACCUUCGGGCCUUGCGCGAUUGGCUGAACCCAGGUGGGAUUAGCUAGUUGGUGAGGUAAUGGCCCACCAAGGCGACGAUCCCUAGCUGGUCUGAGAGGAUGAUCAGCCACACUGGAACUGAGACACGGUCCAGACUCCUACGGGAGGCAGCAGUGGGGAAUAUUGCACAAUGGGGGAAACCCUGAUGCAGCCAUGCCGCGUGUGUGAAGAAGGCCUUCGGGUUGUAAAGCACUUUCAGCGAGGAAGAAAGGUCAGUAGCUAAUAUCUGCUGGCUGUGACGUUACUCGCAGAAGAAGCACCGGCUAACUCCGUGCCAGCCGCCGCCGUAA
rnacentral:rRNA from 1 species